AACGGCCAUACCAUGCUGAAUAUACCGGUUCUCGUUAGAUCACCGAAAUCAAGCAUCACUGGGCGCGGUCAAUCAUUGGGUGGGUGACCCUUUGGGAACACUGCGUGCCGUU
rnacentral:rRNA from 1 species